GUGAAACUUUUUGUGUGUGAUUGUAUUAAGGGAGAGACCCAACCUAAUUUUUUUGAUGUAUUAGAAGUCCACGAAGUUGGAAUUGGGGUAAUCUUAUUAUGACUUGACUCCAGUUGAACACUUUGGCAUUACAAUGAAUAAGCUGUUAAUCCUAUAAGUAUUUAACAAUGGUGGGAUUCAACUGAGCAGUCAGUGCCUGUUGGUAGAUUAACUUAACAUGUUGUGAGGUUUUGAAAUACUUUUAGACCAUCAGUCUUGGGUAUAAAAUCCAGAUUGGGGCGUUGGCUAGGCACUUGGAGGCGAGACCAGGACCGACACUAGGUCAGGGCAUGUUAUGCUCAUGUGUACCCACAUUGGGGAGUUGUAGGUUCCUAGUGAACUGAUUUUGCAAUUAUUUGCGCCGUUGGGAAUGAGUCACACAGAGUCGGUAGGCUGCGGCCGUCCUCGUCUCCUCGUCAAAGUCAAUGAAAUGUAGACCAGGUUAUUCGCCAUAACCUGGUUUUGGGACGUAACGUCUGGUUUGGGGAACUCCGCACAGUGAGAUAGACAUCCUCGGCGGGCCGAGCUCAAGUCGACCAUACCAGCAGGAUUGUCAGCAAGGUCACACGUGGGCAGAGGACUCUACGGACACAGAUGGUACUACCAGGGCAGGCACUGCUGAACCACAACCACACAACUUCACACGAACUGUUGAUUUGGGCCCACUUUCGUUGAUUGUUUUGUAAUGUAUUUAUAAUGAUGUAUUUAUUGAGUUUUUUGUAGGAUGAAAUUUAAGUGUAUGUUAAUAUUGGUGAUAUUGUGAAUUAAAUUAAUCUUGAAAUUAUA